AGAGUUUGAUCCUGGCUCAGAACGAACGUUAGCGGCGCGCCUAACACAUGCAAGUCGCACGAGAAAGGGCUUCGGCCCCGGUACAGUGGCGCACGGGUGAGUAACACGUAGAUCAUCUCCCCUCGAGUGGUGGAUAACUUUCCGAAAGGAAAGCUAAUACAGCAUGAGACCACGGCUUCGUUGAAGCUGCGGCCAAAGCAGGCCUCUACACGUAAGCUUGCGCUUGAGGAUGAGUCUGCGGCCCAUCAGCUAGUUGGUAGGGUAAUGGCCUACCAAGGCUAAGACGGGUAGCUGGUCUGAGAGGAUGAACAGCCACACUGGAACUGAGACACGGUCCAGACUCCUACGGGAGGCAGCAGUGGGGAAUCUUGCGCAAUGGGCGAAAGCCUGACGCAGCGACGCCGCGUGAGCGAUGAAGGCCUUCGGGUUGUAAAGCUCUGUGGGGAGGAAAGAAUAAGUGUUGGCUAAUAUCCAGCAUGAUGACGGUACCUCCUUAGCAAGCACCGGCUAACUCUGUGCCAGCAGCCGCGGUAAGACAGAGGGUGCAAACGUUGUUCGGAAUUACUGGGCGUAAAGCGCGUGUAGGCGGCCCUGCAAGUCGGAUGUGAAAUCCCACGGCUCAACCGUGGAAGUGCAUUCGAAACUGCAGGGCUAGAGUCCUGGAGAGGAAGGUGGAAUGCUUGGUGUAGAGGUGAAAUUCGUAGAUAUCAAGCGGAACACCGGUGGCGAAGGCGGCCUUCUGGACAGUGACUGACGCUGAGACGCGAAAGCGUGGGGAGCAAACAGGAUUAGAUACCCUGGUAGUCCACGCCGUAAACGAUGAGUGCUAGGUGUCACGGGCUUUGACCCUCGUGGUGCCGAAGCUAACGCGUUAAGCACUCCGCCUGGGGAGUACGGCCGCAAGGCUAAAACUCAAAGGAAUUGACGG
rnacentral:rRNA from 1 species